ACAGGAAAAGAGAAAUGAUGUUGGCAAAUGGUGAUAGAUGUUAACCAAAGGCGAAGUUUCUUCCUUGCUGCUCUUAAAUCAUUCUUGCAUGUUGAAGUUGACAUUACUAAUGGAUAAGAUGUAGACUCAUCAAACACUGCAGGAUUGUGCACUCUGGAGUUAUGAAUGCUGCGUUCCUGUUGUUCUUUCGAGUCUAUAAAUGAAUGCC